GAUCGCUUAGCUCAAUGGUAGAGCGCUUCGUUUACAUCGAAGAGGUUGGCGGUUCAAAUCCACCAGCGAUCA
rnacentral:tRNA from 3 species